GACGAACGCUGGCGGCGUGCUUAACACAUGCAAGUCGAACGGAAAGGCCCUGCUUUUGUGGGGUGCUCGAGUGGCGAACGGGUGAGUAACACGUGAGUAACCUGCCCUUGACUUUGGGAUAACUUCAGGGAACUGGGGCUAAUACCGGAUAGGAGCUCCUGCUGCAUGGUGGGGGUUGGAAAGUUUCGGCGGUUGGGGAUGGACUCGCGGCUUAUCAGCUUGUUGGUGGGGUAGUGGCUUACCAAGGCUUUGACGGGUAGCCGGCCUGAGAGGGUGACCGGCCACAUUGGGACUGAGAUACGGCCCAGACUCCUACGGGAGGCAGCAGUGGGGAAUAUUGCACAAUGGGCGGAAGCCUGAUGCAGCAACGCCGCGUGCGGGAUGACGGCCUUCGGGUUGUAAACCGCUUUCGCCUGUGACGAAGCGUGAGUGACGGUAAUGGGUAAAGAAGCACCGGCUAACUACGUGCCAGCAGCCGCGGUGAUACGUAGGGUGCGAGCGUUGUCCGGAUUUAUUGGGCGUAAAGGGCUCGUAGGUGGUUGAUCGCGUCGGAAGUGUAAUCUUGGGGCUUAACCCUGAGCGUGCUUUCGAUACGGGUUGACUUGAGGAAGGUAGGGGAGAAUGGAAUUCCUGGUGGAGCGGUGGAAUGCGCAGAUAUCAGGAGGAACACCAGUGGCGAAGGCGGUUCUCUGGGCCUUUCCUGACGCUGAGGAGCGAAAGCGUGGGGAGCGAACAGGCUUAGAUACCCUGGUAGUCCACGCUGUAAACGGUGGGUACUAGGUGUGGGGUCCAUUCCACGGGUUCCGUGCCGUAGCUAACGCUUUAAGUACCCCGCCUGGGGAGUACGGCCGCAAGGCUAAAACUCAAAGGAAUUGACGGGGCCCCGCACAAGCGGCGGAGCAUGCGGAUUAAUUCGAUGCAACGCGUAGAACCUUACCUGGGUUUGACAUGGAUCGGGAGCGCUCAGAGAUGGGUGUGCCUCUUUUGGGGUCGGUUCACAGGUGGUGCAUGGCUGUCGUCAGCUCGUGUCGUGAGAUGUUGGGUUAAGUCCCGCAACGAGCGCAACCCUUGUUCACUGUUGCCAGCACGUUAUGGUGGGGACUCAGUGGAGACCGCCGGGGUCAACUCGGGGGAAGGUGGGGAUGACGUCAAGUCAUCAUGCCCCUUAUGUCCAGGGCUUCACGCAUGCUACAAUGGCUGGUACAGAGAGUGGCGAGCCUGUGAGGGUGAGCGAAUCUCGGAAAGCCGGUCUCAGUUCGGAUUGGGGUCUGCAACUCGACCUCAUGAAGUCGGAGUCGCUAGUAAUCGCAGAUCAGCAACGCUGCGGUGAAUACGUUCCCGGGGCU
rnacentral:rRNA from 1 species